rnacentral:rRNA from 1 species
CCUACGGGAGGCAGCAGUGGGGAAUCUUGCGCAAUGCGCGAAAGCGUGACGCAGCAACGCCGCGUGGGGGAAGAAGGCCUUCGGGUUGUAAACCCCUUUCAGGAGGGACGCGGUACCUCCACAAGAAGCCCCGGCUAACUACGUGCCAGCAGCCGCGGUAAUACGUAGGGGGCAAGCGUUGUCCGGAAUCAUUGGGCGUAAAGCGCGCGUAGGCGGCCCGGUAAGUCCGCUCUGAAAGUCUAGGGCUCAACCCUGGAAUGCGGGUGGAUACUGCCGGGCUAGAGUCCGGAAGAGGCGAGUGGAAUUCCUGGUGUAGCGGUGGAAUGCGCAGAUAUCAGGAGGAACACCAAUAGCGAAGGCAGCUCGCUGGCGGUACUGACGCUAAGGCGCGAAAGCGUGGGGAGCAAACAGGAUUAGAUACCCUUGUAGUC